UGUAAAAUCAAAAAGGAAUUUAUUAAAAAAAAAAGGGCUACUAUAUUGAAUUCUAGUGAUAGCAAAAUCUACAGAACCACUGGUAAGAAAGCACAGUGCAUGUUAGUUUUAUUCUGCUUUUUCAGACAAGGAGCGUGUUCCUUCAAGUUCCAACAAGGUCCACCAGCUGGCCAGCACCAGAGUUUAUCCAAUGCCAAAAAUGUUUUUGACCUGUUUGAAGAUGUUCUGGCAGAAAAUCUGACAUCUGGUGUUUAAGAAGAUGAAAGAAGCUUAGAGAAUGAGGAGACAAUUAAAAAAAAAAAAAAAAGAUAAAAGCUGCAGUUCUUAUAGUACUGAGAUGGUGAUUCUGGAUGUUUUGCAAAUGUCUCUGGGACAUGGGCACACAGCUUUGCUCCUGCCUUCCUCUGAAUGCUGUCUUUGUGGCAACCUGCCCCAUGGGUGACCUUCAGCUUGCUCUGCCAUACAGUGGGACAGCAGUAUCCAUGCUGACCUUACCCUGGAUCAGCCUCCAGGGCAAUCAGUCCUCCAGGGCAGGCUCCAGCUGAUCAGGUGCUGGGGGCAGAGGGGCCCAGAGUGGAGCUCUACCACCUUGCUGUAUCUAGUCAUGGGAUGGUGGAUAGUGUGUACAUAUGGGAGGUCUAGAGACUCCCUGGUAAGCUAAUUUUGCGUCAACUCACUCACAUGGCACAGGCAACAAGUUUUACACCUUGUUUUUCCUGUUGCAGAUAUAAUUAAAGAAUUUUUUCCCUAUUUUUUUUUCUACAGAUUUGGACAGAAAAGUUUGUUUCUGAUACUUUUUUGUUUGUUUGUUUGUUUGUUAGUGCUAUAAAUACAUUUUACAAAGAAAUAUUAGCUAGGAUCUGAUAGACAGUUUUCAGGCACUUCGUGGCAUCUCCUUGGCUCCAGUGUGUUGUCUGCUUUGUAGGGCAUUUUCCAUUUCUUACAUUCAACUAAACAUCCUCAUAAACAUGUUAAGCAAGGUAUUAAUAUUUAAUGCUAGUUGAUUUUGUAAAGAAUCACAAUGAUGACUAUUAUUUACUAUUUUGUUUGAGGGAGAAGCCUUUAAAAAAAAAGAGGCAGAAAAGGUAGAAUUUGAAGUAGGCUACACUACUUCUGCCAAAUUAUUUGGAAGUGAACAGUGGGCAGUUUGAAUUUUCUCUCUUUUCCAUUCCUUGUGAAAUUCAUAGCAGUACCUAUGCUAUGCGAUGACAAAGUUAAAAAGAUGUCCCUCCAGCCAUUAAACAAGAAGAAUAACAGUCUGUACUGAAGAUGCCUGAAUAUGGCUUGACCAUAUGGUCAGGGUGGAGAAAUGUGUAGCCAAAGAGAAACUCCAAUAAAUGGAUUUUAUCUGGUUCA
rnacentral:lncRNA from 1 species